UCAGUUUUGGGUUUUUGCCAGAGAGAUAAUAUAAUAAUGUCUACUCAAAAUUCUGAUUCCUCUAUUUGUAAACAUGUUCUAUAACAAGAUAAAACCUUAAUACAUGUAUCUAACUUUCACCACAUACAUCUAUAUUAUAUUUGCAUCUGUAAUCUUUCUUCCACACAUAUGAAAUUAUACCUUGUUAACAACAGGUGAAGUAAACUUUUUUUUUUUUAGAAAUUUUAUUAAAAUGGCACAUAUAAACGUUUAAAAAAAUGGAAUAUACAAAAAGGCAAGACAUAUAAACAUAUUAAGGCAUCCUACAUUAUAGGAGAAAAAAGGUACAUAAAUAUAUCUUACAAUACCUAUAAACAAACACAGAACUUGCUCUGAAAUUCAACUGGCUUCAUUCGAAUUGAUACUUCAUGUAUCAUAGACUUUAAACACAUAAAACAUGAGGUAUUUACUAUUAUACACAAAGAGUGGGGGACAGGGGGUGUGAAAGGUGGGGGUGGGGGAGUAAAGACCUUUAACAUAGAUUCUACUUACUGAGUGAAAACU
rnacentral:lncRNA from 1 species